rnacentral:rRNA from 1 species
GCUUGCUUUCUUUGCUGGCGACCGGCGCACGGGUGAGUAACACGUAUCCAACCUACCCUUUACUCGGGGAUAGCCUUCCGAAAGAAAGAUUAAUACCCGAUAGCAUAAUGAUUCCGCAUGGUUUCAUUAUUAAAGGAUUCCGGUAAAGGAUGGGGAUGCGUUCCAUUAGGUUGUUGGUGGGGUAACGGCCCACCAAGCCUUCGAUGGAUAGGGGUUCUGAGAGGAAGGUCCCCCACAUUGGAACUGAGACACGGUCCAAACUCCUACGGGAGGCAGCAUG